ACACCGGUGAUUCAGUGGUAGAGUUCUCGCCUUCCAAGCAGGAGACUCGGGUUUGAGCCCGGCCAAUGUA
rnacentral:tRNA from 1 species